CCACCCUCAGGCCCCGCCUGGUGUUGGGGGCCUGCGCGCGCAGCCCCCGAAAGACAGCGGCGGGCCCGUCCCGGCUCCGAGCGUAGUAGCACACGUCGCUCCGGAACGCGGGCGGGCUCCUGCCGUAAAACCCCCUCUUCGCAA
rnacentral:misc_RNA from 1 species